rnacentral:lncRNA from 1 species
GCCAGAGGAAUGAAGAAAGAGAUAAAUAUUUUUCAUUCGUUUAACCAAAUAUAUGGACUCAGAUAUUCGGAAAAAAUUCCGAGAAGUGCAAAUAUCAUAAUAAAAAUAGAUACAGUCGGCCCUCAGUAUCCGCGGAUAGUUGGUUCCAGAAAUCUCCCGGAUGCUCAAUCCUUUAUCUAAAAUGGUAUAGUAUUUACAUAUAACUUUCGCACCUUUUCCUGUAUACUUUAAAUCAUUUGUAGAUCACUUAUAAUAUUUAACACAAUGUAAAUGUUAUGUAAAUAGUUGUUAUACUGUAGUCUUUAGGGCCUAAUGAUAAAAAAC